GCCUAAAGCGAAAGCGAAGAACAUCUCUCUCUCUCUCUCUCUCUCUCUCUCUCGUUUUACAUCCCCGACCUGGAGGAGAGCGUAGCAGAGCUCAUCGAACAGCAGAGAGGGAAAAAUCAGAUACUUGCAGGAUCUAAUUAGUGCUUGCUCGGACCAUGAGGUUAAGCUGAAUUUUUUAGAGUGAAUCAUUUGCUUUGUGUUUACUUUUACGUCAAGAGGAAAAAAUGCCGGUCAUGCAACCGAUAUUGCCCCUUCCGGCACCCCCUUCUGAUGGAAAUCUUGGUCCACUUCCCCCAUCUCAAGUUCCAGAGAAGUCCGAUGAUGAGAAUAUGUUAGAGGCUGCUGAGGAUCAGAAUUCAGCUCCUGCAUCGGUUGCGACUCAUACAAGAACCAUUGGAAUUAUACACCCUCCUCCGGAUAUCAGAAAUAUUGUUGACAAAACUGCACAGUUUGUGGCAAAGAAUGGACCCGAGUUUGAGAAAAGGAUUAUUGCAAACAAUGCAGGAAAUGCGAAGUUCAAUUUCUUGAAUGCUUCAGAUCCAUACCAUGCAUAUUACCAGCACCGCCUUUCCGAGUUUCGUUCGCAGAAUCAAGCUUCUGCUCAACAGCAGACUCCUUCAGAAUCUGCAGAUUCAUCUGUUCUUGAGUCAGCUCCUUCUGCUCCGGCUGCUGAUAGUAAUGACGCAGCUGCAAAGCCUGAUCCUGCUUCCCAGUUUAGACCCAUCCAUAAAGUUCUUGAGCCUCCAGAGGCAGAGCAGUACACUGUCCGGCUUCCUGAAGGAAUAACCGGGGAGGAGCUGGAUAUUAUUAAACUCACUGCACAAUUCGUGGCUCGCAAUGGGAAAUCGUUUUUGACGGGACUGACAAGCAGAGAGAUUAACAACCCCCAAUUUCAUUUUCUGAAACCAACCCACAGUAUGUUCAUGUUUUUUACAUCACUUGCAGAUGCGUACUCUAAAGUGUUGAUGCCUCCAAAAGGGUUGACUGAUAAGCUGAGGAAGAGUGUUGCUGAUAUGACUACUGUGCUUGAACGGUGUUUGCACCGGUUAGAGUGGGAACGUUCACAAGAGCAGGCAAGGCAGAAAGCAGAAGAUGAGAUUGAACAGGAACGUGUGCAAAUGGCUAUGAUUGAUUGGCAUGAUUUUGUUGUGGUUGAGACAAUAGACUUUGCCGAUGAUGAGGAUGAGGAUUUACCUCCUCCAAUGACGCUUGAAGAGGUUAUAAGGAGGAGCAAGAUGACAGCGAUGGAGGAAGAGGAUAUUGUUGAACCCGGAAAGGAGGUUGAAAUGGAGAUGGAUGAAGAAGAGGUGCAGCUUGUUGAAGAGGGCAUGAGGGCAGCUAGUAUCGAAGAGAAUGGUGAGAAGAAGUAUGAGAUGAAAGCAACUCAUGAGGAGCAAGAACCACCAAUGAGAAUUGUGAAGAACUGGAAAAGGCCUGAGGACAGGAUACCUGCUGAAAGAGACCCGACUAAAUUUGUUGUUUCCCCUAUUACUGGCGAACUAAUUCCCAUUAAUGAGAUGUCCGAACAUAUGAGGAUUUCACUCAUUGAUCCCAAGUACAAGGAGCAAAAAGAUAGGAUGUUUGCUAAGAUUCGUGAGACUACUCUUGCUCAGGACGAUGAGAUAUCCAAAAACAUUGUUGGACUUGCACGGACCCGUCCUGAUAUUUUUGGUACAACAGAGGAAGAAGUUUCUAAUGCCGUGAAGGCAGAGAUUGAGAAGAAGAAAGAUGACCAACCUAAGCAGGUCAUAUGGGAUGGUCACACAGGAAGCAUCGGGCGGACUGCAAACCAAGCGAUGUCUCAAGGUGCCAAUGGAGAGGAUCAAAAUGAUGCAGCCAAUGAUGCGAGAAAUCUUCCUGGCCCUGCAGCUCCUCCUCCUCCCCCUAGACCUGGUAUGCCAACAAUUCGGUCAAUUCCUCUUCCACCACCUGGAUUAGCCUUGAAUGUUCUUCGGCCGCCUCCAAAUGCAAUCCAGUAUUCUGCUCCUACUGGUAGUGGGGUCCUUUUACCUCCACCCAGGCCACCAGUCGUCACUAUGGUUGCGCCAGGUCGGCCUUUACCUCAUCAAAUGCCACUAAUGCCGGGACAGCAACAACUUUUGGUAAACCGACCACCACCAAUGCCUCAAUCUUAUUCUGUGAAUCCCCCUAGCAUUCCUGUGCCACCCCCACCUGGAUCUCAGUUUACACCUUUGGCUGCUCCUCGUCCUUACGUUCCCCAUUCCAUUCCCCAACCUGGCAUGCCCAUGGUUCCACCCCCGCCUCUACCUCAAGGAAUGCCUCCCCCACCGCCACCUGAGGAAGCUCCUCCACCUCUUCCGGACGAACCAGAGCCAAAGAGGCAAAGGCUUGAUGAUUCUAUGCUUAUUCCGGAAGACCAAUUUCUUGCUCAACAUCCGGGACCUGUUCGCAUCACUGUGUCGGUGCCAAAUGUUGAUGAAGGAAACCUCAAAGGGCAAGUAUUGGAGAUUACAGUACAAUCCUUAUCUGAAACCAUUGGCAGUUUGAAGGAGAAAAUUGCAGGAGAGAUCCAGCUUCCUGCAAACAAACAGAAAUUGAGUGGAAAGGCUGGCUUUUUUAAGGACAAUUUAUCACUUGCAUACUACAAUGUGGCAGCAGGAGAAACACUUGCUCUUUCUUUAAGAGAACGUGGUGGUAGAAAGAGAUAAACGGUUUUGCUGAAGCAAGCUGUCACUCAAAAGAUCUGGCGUUUUGGCGUCUAAGUUACUAAGGAGCAGGGCAAAUCAACACUGGCACCUAUUUGUACCACUAAUUCAGUGUUCUAUUUGGAUUUGCAGUGGAUCUCUAAGCACACUUGUUCCCUGUAGUUGUAUUGUGCUUCUGAUAAUUCGCGUUCUUGUUGUUGAGAUGGAUUGUAUAUAUGGUAUAUUACGAGUCUUUUCGUGGUGUUCCUUAUAUUUUUGGUGGUCUCUUGAGUUUUGUUCUUAGGCGGAGUUGGCAAUUUGAAGGUCUCCUCUAGAAUCUAUGGGAAAGGGCUCUUAUGCCAGGAUGGGAACUUUUAUUUUGCUUGUACAGAGAUCCCAGUAAUCUUAUUUGCCUAGCUCUAUCUGGAGUUGUGGGAAGGUUUGUGCUGCCUAUGGAUUGUGUCAUUUUUACUGUCUUUACAGUUGCAGGUAGGAUUUUGCUCUGUUUCUUCCAGUCAAAUUGUUUGGCAUCACAACUUUGAUGGCUGUUCCUAAGACCUUAAUUCAGAAUCAUGAAUUUAUGCUUA